rnacentral:rRNA from 1 species
UACGGAGGGUGCAAGCGUUAUCCGGAUUCACUGGGUUUAAAGGGUGCGUAGGUGGAUUGGUAAGUCAGUGGUGAAAUCCCCAAGCUUAACUUGGGAACUGCCAUUGAUACUAUCAGUCUUGAAUACCGUGGAGGUCAGUGGAAUAUGUCAUGUAGCGGUGAAAUGCUUAGAUAUGACAUAGAACACCAAUUGCGAAGGCAGCUGGCUACACGAAUAUUGACACUCAGGCACGAAAGCGUGGGGAUCAAACAGG